GCCGCUGCUAGCUCUUUAUCGCCGUCCUUAUUUUGUUUUGUUUUGUUUAUGUUUUUACUGUUCGUUCCCCAGUGGACCAGCUGCUGCUCUCCUUUGAACACCUGCACGAUUUUGGAUUGUUUGCUAACCUGCGAUGAUAGUAACACAGAAAGGAGCCGAGGCCAGCGACUGGAGCAAGAUGUCAAGCCAGAGGUCGGCCUCGUCUGCGCAUGCGUCCCGCAGGCCUAGCGCCGACGCAGACUCCCGAUCCGCCACUCCCGCGCAGGUGCAGGUGACCGUGCAGGUGGGCACGCGGUGGGACACCUACACC